CCUACGGGAGGCUGCAGUCGAGAAUCUUCGGCAAUGGGCGCAAGCCUGACCGAGCGACGCCGCGUGGAGGACGAAGGCCUUCGGGUUGUAAACUCCUGUCGAGGGGAAGGAAGGGGCCCGCGAGGGCCCUUGACCGCUCCCUGGAGGAAGCACGGGCUAAGUUCGUGCCAGCAGCCGCGGUAAGACGAACCGUGCGAACGUUAUUCGGAAUCACUGGGCUUAAAGCGCGUGUAGGCGGGGCGGUGCGUCGGUCGCUGAAAUCCCCCGGCUCAACCGGGGAAGGGGCGCCGAUACGACCGGCCUGGAGCGACGUAGGGGGAACUGGAACUUCCGGUGGAGCGGUGAAAUGCGUUGAGAUCGGAAGGAACGCCCGUGGCGAAAGCGAGUUCCUGGACGUCGGCUGACGCUGAGACGCGAAAGCCAGGGGAGCGAACGGGAUU
rnacentral:rRNA from 1 species